AGUGAACGCUGGCGGUAGGCCUAACACAUGCAAGUCGAACGGCAGCACAGUAAGAGCUUGCUCUUACGGGUGGCGAGUGGCGUACGUGUGAGGAAUACAUCGGAAUCUACUUUUUCGUGUAGGAUAACGUAGGGAAACUUACUCUAAUACCGCAUACGACCUACGGGUGAAAGCAGUGGAUCUUCGGACCUUGCGCGAUUGAAUGAGCCGAUGUCGGAUUAGCUAGUUGGCGGGGUAAAGGCCCACCAAGGCGACGAUCCGUAGCUGGUCUGAGAGGAGGAUCAGCCACACUGGAACUGAGACACGGUCCAGACUCCUACGGGAGGCAGCAGUGGCGAAUAUUGGGCAAUGGGCGCAAGCCUGAUCCAGCCAUACCGCGUGGGUGAAGAAGGCCUUCGGGUUGUAAAGCCCUUUUGUUGGGAAAGAACAGCAGCAGGUUAAUACCCCGCUGUUCUGACGGUACCCAAAGAAUAAGCACCGGCUAACUUCGUG
rnacentral:rRNA from 1 species